GUACUCACUUUGUGGUACGUAUACUAAAACUGGAACGAUACAGAGAAGAUUAGCAUGGCCCCUCCACAAGGAUGAUAUGCAAAAUUGUGAAGUGUUCCAUAUUUAC